ACGUGGUAAACAAAAACAUAGUAGUAGAAGUAAAAAUGCCGAUGAAAACAUUUUGAGCAAAGCAAAACCUAGUGAGAAACAGGUAAGCGCAUCAUCUCACUACAUAAUUGAAAAAAUUUGAGGAACGAAUUUCAGUUUUAGUAGAUCAACGUGGCAAACAUUAGCACAAGAACUGAAUUAUAGAUAAAGAGAUGACGAGAAGUGUGUGUGAUGAUGUCAAAUCGUUUUCAUUGAUUGU
rnacentral:misc_RNA from 1 species